AAUGAACGCUGGCGGCGUGCCUAAUACAUGCAAGUCGAGCGGAUCUCUUCGGAGAUCAGCGGCGGACGGGUGAGUAACACGUGGGCAACCUGCCUAUAAGACUGGGAUAACUCCGGGAAACCGGGGCUAAUACCGGAUAAUCCUCUGGACCUCAUGGUCCGGAGCUGAAAGACGGUUCUGCUGUCACUUAUAGAUGGGCCCGCGGCGCAUUAGCUAGUUGGUGAGGUAACGGCUCACCAAGGCGACGAUGCGUAGCCGACCUGAGAGGGUGAUCGGCCACACUGGGACUGAGACACGGCCCAGACUCCUACGGGAGGCAGCAGUAGGGAAUCUUCCGCAAUGGACGAAAGUCUGACGGAGCAACGCCGCGUGAGUGAUGAAGGCUUUCGGGUCGUAAAACUCUGUUGUUAGGGAAGAACAAGUGCUAGUUGAAUAAGCUGGCACCUUGACGGUACCUAACCAGAAAGCCACGGCUAACUACGUGCCAGCCGCCGCGGUAAGAC
rnacentral:rRNA from 1 species